rnacentral:rRNA from 1 species
GUCGGGAAUUUUGGACAAUGGGCGCAAGCCUGAUCCAGCAAUGUCGCGUGCAGGAAGAAGGCCUUCGGGUUGUAAACUGCUUUUGUACGGAACGAAAAAGCUCUCUCUAAUACAGGGGGUGAAUGACGGUACCGUAAGAAUAAGCACCGGCUAACUACGUGCCAGCAGCCGCGGUAAUACGUAGGGUGCAAGCGUUAAUCGGAAUUACUGGGCGUAAAGCGUGCGCAGGCGGUGAUGUAAGACAGAUGUGAAAUCCCCGGGCUCAACCUGGGAACUGCAUUUGUGACUGCAUUGCUGGAGUGCGGCAGAGGGGGAUGGAAUUCCGCGUGUAGCAGUGAAAUGCGUAGAUAUGCGGAGGAACACCGAUGGCGAAGGCAAUCCCCUGGGCCUGCACUGACGCUCAUGCACGAAAGCGUGGGGAGCAAACAGGAUUAGAUACCCGAGUAGUCC